CCAGGAAUUUCAUAAAUUCAUUGAAAAGACAGGUUUUAUGGUUCCACUUGCAAACAAGGUCUUCCAGGAGUGGCGUUUUAGUGGGACACUAAUAGCUACAACAACCAUCCAGCAGAUUGUGUGAGUAAAAGCCUGUGAUCUUCCAGGUGCUCCUAAGUGCUUUUCGUAGAAAUACCUCACUUAGUGUUUGGGAGAUGGCUCAGUGGAUAAAACUCGUGCCCUGCAAGCUUCAAGUGGGAGGCCCCAAGCUGGAUUCACAAAAACCAAUGUUUUGCUUGCAAUCUCAUCGAUGACAGAUAGCAGGCAGAUCCCUGGAGCUCACCUGCCAUCCCCCCACCCCUACUCCCCAAGCUUAACUUAUCAAGGUUCGAGACCAAUGAGAGACCUUAUCUCAAAGUAAAGAGUAAAAAGAAGCCAAGGGUAAGGAUGCCCAGGUAGACAAAUGUGCGUAAACACAAGCAGGCACAUAUUUAGAGGGCUAGGGAGAUAAGGUAGGUCCACGAGUGAAGGUGCUAUUUGAACUGAGUCCACAUAAAGAGCUGGGCAUGACUAAUGUGUCUAUAAGCUUAGUGCUAUGGAGGGUAGAGACAAGAGGAUCACUUGAACUUGCUGACAGCCAGCCUUAGCUCCAGGCUGAGUAAGAGACUCUAUCUAAAGAAUAAGGUAGAGAGUGACAGAGUAGGAUACCUGAUGGCCUCCUUCUUGGCCCUGUGUUUCGCCCCCUGGCCCCCUGAGAUACACAUAUAACACACAAACAUACUAUACACAUACUCCACAUACAUACUCUCUUACACACAACAGCUGAUUUAUCCCUCAUAGCCCUAUGAUGUAGCUACUUUUACCUCCCCAUUUGAUAGAAAGGAAGUUGAGGCAAAGACAUUGCUUGGCCACAGAAAGAUAGCUAGUAAAGGGCUGAGAACUUGAGUGUAGAAUCCCACCUCAUACUGAAUACUGAGGCUGUCACAUUGGCCAACCCAUCAGCAUGAAGAUGGUGAUACCAACAGUGACCAAGCUGGCGAUCACAUCAACAGUAGAGCCCUGGAUUUGAAGCAAGCACAGGGUCAAAGCCUUCACUCACAGCAUCCCCAGGAAGUGUAAGGACAUUGUGUUUCCCUCUUUCAAACAUACCUACUUUACCAACAUGUCUUAUAAGACCCAGUCAUGCUAACAUCCUGUUGGCUCCAUUUCUUGCAGAAGACUGAAGUCUGUGCUAUGGUUCUGGUACAUCUUAAGAAGAGAUUUGGGUAGUGGAAUGGCAGCAUGGAUGGUGUAAGGGCUAUGAAGCAUCACAACAGUAGGAGUGGCAGCAGAAACACUGGCACAGUCCUGCAUUUGCAAGCUACUCAUACAAAAUGUAAAUUACCCCCUUAUGAAUCCUUGGACAACAGAGGCGCCUCUUUCUCGCCUAACAGAGAAGCCAAAACAGUACAUUUCCCAGCUUCCCUGGGAAAUUAAUAGGCUCAUGACCUGACAGCCAAUCAAAGAAUGAUACAAGAAUUCCAGGCCCCAAAUGUCACCAUGGGAGCCUAGAGGGUCCAAGCAAUCCUGGGGCUGCAGGAUCUCUCAAAAUAGGGAGGUAUGCUGUGGUCCCUGUGUCCCAGGGUGUCGUAGGUCCAGAGGCUAUGAAUGCUGCAGCUGCAGAGCCUGCCUGAAGUUGUGCUUCCCUGUUCUCUAAGCCUCGUCUUCCAGCUUUCUUGUAAGCCCACCAUCACCCCUUCAGCCAUGUUCUUCUCUACUGCUUGCAGCCAGAAUCUUGUCUAUUAUAGCUCAGGUUUAAGGUGAUGUUUCAUCCAUAGCCCCAAAUCCCAUUUAGUUUCUCUGUUAUCUCUCAGGUGUGCUAGGAGGAUCUAACCUUCAGAAGCCUGAUGCAGUCCCUCCUAGGGACCUCUGAGGCAUCACUACUCUGAUCACUACGUCGUGAGGUACAGAAAAUACCACAGAUAGCUCCAAGGACCAGUGCGCCCCUCAGUCAUAUAUUCUCAGCAGCCCUAAGGAGGAAAAUGUAUCCACAGCUUUGGUUUUCCAGGUUCUAACGGCAGACCGGCUUGGAAGUAGGUCAGGGCUGGGUGCUGCUACCAGCCACUCCUUCUGCAUUCCUGGCUCCCCUUCCUG
rnacentral:lncRNA from 1 species